rnacentral:rRNA from 1 species
ACUCCUACGGGAGGCAGCAGUGGGGAAUCUUGGACAAUGGGGGCAACCCUGAUCCAGCCAUGCCGCGUGAGUGAUGAAGGCCUUAGGGUCGUAAAGCUCUUUCGCCUGUGAAGAUAAUGACGGUAGCAGGUAAAGAAACCCCGGCUAACUCCGUGCCAGCAGCCGCGGUAAUACGGAGGGGGUUAGCGUUGUUCGGAAUUACUGGGGCGUAAAGCGCACGUAGGCGGAUCGGAAAGUUGGGGGUGAAAUCCCGGGGCUCAACCCCGGAACUGCCUCCAAAACUAUCGGUCUAGAGUUCGAGAGAGGUGAGUGGAAUUCCGAGUGUAGAGGUGAAAUUCGUAGAUAUUCGGAGGAACACCAGUGGCGAAGGCGGCUCACUGGCUCGAUACUGACGCUGAGGUGCGAAAGUGU